CCUACGGGAGGCAGCAGUAGGGAAUCUUCCACAAUGGGCGAAAGCCUGAUGGAGCGACGCCGCGUGGGGGAUGAAGCCCUUCGGGGUGUAAACCCCUUUUCGGGGGGAAGAAUAAGGGCUUUAAUAAGGCCCGAUGACGGUACCCCCGGAAUAAGCCACGGCUAACUCUGUGCCAGCAGCCGCGGUAAGACAGAGGCGGCGAGCGUUACCCGGAUUCACUGGGCGUAAAGGGUGUGUAGGCGGUCGCGCAUGUCGUCGGUGAAAUCCCCCGGCUCAACGGGGAGAGGUCCGACGAAACUGCGCGGCUGGAGGGCCGGAGAGGGAGGCGAAACUUCCAGGGUAGCGGUGAAAUGCGUAGAUACUGGAAGGUACCUCAAUAGCGAAGGCAGCCUCCUGGCCGGCUCCUGACGCUGAGACACGAAAGCGUGGGGAGCAAACCGGAUUAGAUACCCCGGUAGU
rnacentral:rRNA from 1 species